rnacentral:rRNA from 1 species
UACGAAGGGUGCAAGCGUUACUCGGAAUUACUGGGCGUAAAGCGUGCGUAGGUGGUUGUUUAAGUCUGUUGUGAAAGCCCUGGGCUCAACCUGGGAACUGCAAUGGAAACUGGACAACUAGAGUGUGGUAGAGGGUAGCGGAAUUCCCGGUGUAGCAGUGAAAUGCGUAGAGAUCGGGAGGAACAUCCAUGGCGAAGGCAGCUACCUGGACCAACACUGACACUGAGGCACGAAAGCGUGGGGAGCAAACAGG